rnacentral:rRNA from 1 species
UACGUAGGGUGCAGGCGUUAAUCGGAAUUACUGGGCGUAAAGGGCGCGUAGGCGGCUCUGUAAGUCAGGCGUGAAAUUCCCGGGCUCAACCUGGGGACUGCGCUUGAGACUGUGGGGCUAGAGGAUGGAAGAGGGUCGUGGAAUUCCCAGUGUAGAGGUGAAAUUCAUAGAUAUCUGGAGGAACACCGGUGGCGAAGGCGGCAUCCUGGACCGACACUGACACUGAGGAGCGAAAGCCAGGGGAGCAAACGGG